AACGAACGCUGGCGGCAUGCCUAACACAUGCAAGUCGAACGACACCUUCGGGACUGCUUGCGCACGGGUGCGUAACGCGUGGGAAGGUGCCCUUAGGCUCGGAAUAAUUCCCCGUCAUGGGGGCUAAUGCCGGAAAAUUUCUUCGAACAAAAGAUAUAUCGCCUUUGGAUGGGCCGGCGUUGGAUGAGCUUGUUGGUAGGGUAUAAGCCUAUCAAGGCGACGCUCCAUAGCUGGUCUGAGAGGCUGAUCAGCCACACUGGGACUGGGACACGGCCGAGACUCUUACGGGAGGCAGCAGUGGGGAAUAUUGGAAAAUGGGCGAAAGGCUGAUGCAGCACUGCCGGGUGAGUGAUGAAGGCGUUAGGGUUGUAAAGCUGUUUUAUCCGGGAUGAUACUGACGGUACCGGGAGAAUAAGCUCCGGCUAACUCCGUG
rnacentral:rRNA from 1 species